UACGUAGGUGGCAAGCGUUAUCCGGAAUUAUUGGGCGUAAAGAGCGCGCAGGUGGUUAAUUAAGUCUGAUGUGAAAGCCCACGGCUUAACCGUGGAGGGUCAUUGGAAACUGGUUGACUUGAGUGCAGAAGAGGGAAGUGGAAUUCCAUGUGUAGCGGUGAAAUGCGUAGAGAUAUGGAGGAACACCAGUGGCGAAGGCGGCUUCCUGGUCUGUAACUGACACUGAGGCGCGAAAGCGUGGGGAGCAAACAGG
rnacentral:rRNA from 1 species